AACGAACGCUGGCGGCAUGCCUAACACAUGCAAGUCGAACGGGAUCCAGGCUUCGGCCUGGUGAGAGUGGCGGACGGGUGAGUAACACGUGGGAACCUGCCUUUUGGUUCGGGAUAACCGCGGGAAACUGCGGCUAAUACCGGAUGCUCCCGAGAGGGGAAAGAUUUAUCGCCAGAAGAGGGGCCCGCGUCCGAUAGGUAGUUGGUGAGGUAAUGGCUCACCAAGCCGACGAUCGGUAGCUGGUCUGAGAGGAUGAUCAGCCACACUGGGACUGAGAUACGGCCCAGACUCCUACGGGAGGCAGCAGUGGGGAAUAUUGGACAAUGGGGCAACCCUGAUCCAGCAAUGCCGCGUGAGUGAUGAAGGCCUUAGGGUUGUAAAGCUCUUUUGCCAGGGAAGAUGAUGACUGUACCUGGAGAAUAAGCCCCGGCUAACUUCGUGCCAGCAGCCGCGGUAAU
rnacentral:rRNA from 1 species